rnacentral:rRNA from 1 species
GAUGAACGCUGGCGGCGUGCCUAACACAUGCAAGUCGAGCGCGAUUAGAUGGACUGGAGGCUUCGGCCAAAGGGAAGAUUAUGAAAGCGGCGGACGGGUGAGCAACGCGUGAGCAACCUGCCCUGUACAGGGGGAUAGCCACUGGAAACGGUGAUUAAUACCCCAUAACCCCAAAGGACCGGAUGGUCCACUGGGCAAAGCCACAAGCGGUACAGGAGGGGCUCGCGUCGGAUUAGCUAGUUGGUGAGGUAACGGCUCACCAAGGCGACGAUCAGUAGCCGACCUGAGAGGGUGAACGGCCACACUGGAACUGAGACACGGUACAGACUCCUACGGGAGGCAGCAGUGGGGAAUAUUGCACAAUGGGCGCAAGCCUGAUGCAGCAACGCCGCGUGAGUGAAGAAGGCCUUCGGGUCGUAAAACUCUGUCCUAAGGGAAGAAGAAGUGACGGUACCUUAGGAGGAAGCCCCGGCUAACUACGUGCCAGCCGCCGCCGUAA